rnacentral:tRNA from 2 species
GGGCGACUCGUCUAGCGGUCAAGACGUCGGAAGCCCUUGUUGUACUGGACUCCCCGUGGGCCAGUGUUAAACAUUCCGAAGAGCGAGGUUCGAGUCCUCGGUUGCCCA